UCUCAUGAUGAAGUGUUGGCAAGCACACCCAAGCCAACGCCCUAGUUUUGCAGAAAUCACUGCGGCGCUAGAGAAAAUGAACGACCCAUCAGAUGAGACCAUGUACUUGAUACCUUAUGUCGACGUGAAUCACGUGAUCAAACCAGAGUUUGACGAUAACUAGAAAGACGGUACAAUACUGAAGGCGAAACGUCUUAAAGAGAAUAAUGCCUUUCGAUAUACCUUGGAGGUGCGAUUAAUAUAUUUUUUUUUUUGGGGGGGGCCUUGCGUUUGACCUAGUUUAAAAGCUAUGUGUAAUUGACACAACUGUUGCACACUACAUACAUUCAAUGUUUCGAAUAUUAAAGUAUGUGCUGAAAUACCUGAAAACAACAUUUAGUGCAUUUAUUAUCUUCUUUUUUUUACUGUCGUUUGAUAAAAACAGUAGCCCAGAUAGCUCACAUAUUACAUUAAUGUCUAUAAAAUUAAAGCACGUUGCUUGGAGAUUUUAUGCAAUGUUUAAGCUGUAUAAACAUGCAUUGCUUAUAGAUGGCACCGCUGUUGGACGCAGUAAACGAUUUAUGAAAUGUAACCAUGAUACGAAUUCUGUAUAAUGCUACUUUAUUGCCAUGAGACAAUUGUGCUUACACGUUUAAUUAAUAAUAUACGUGUAUAUUUUGUACACGUAUUUUUUUGUAAAUGUUCUAUUACUUUAAAUUGGUACGAUUUAGGAUUUGAUUUAGAUAGAUAGGCCAUGAUAUUUAGAUACAUCUGAUAUAACUUGUUAGCUAUGAUCCGUUUAUUAUUCUUGAGUGUUGAAUCUUAUCAUGGAUCGGAUCCUAUCAAAGGAAUCUUUUCUGCUUACGAUAAACGUGUAUGUAUACUCGGAUAAACAUAUCUCACGUAUCGAUCAUGAAUUUAGAUUAAAAAUAUUAAUCAGUGUUGAA